rnacentral:rRNA from 1 species
UACGUAGGGUGCGAGCGUUGUCCGGAAUUAUUGGGCGUAAAGGGCUCGUAGGCGGUCUGUUGCGUCGGGAGUGAAAACUCAGGGCUUAACCCUGAGCCUGCUUCCGAUACGGGCAGACUAGAGGUAUGCAGGGGAGAACGGAAUUCCUGGUGUAGCGGUGAAAUGCGCAGAUAUCAGGAGGAACACCGGUGGCGAAGGCGGGUCUCUGGGCAAUUCCUGACGCUGAGGCGCGAAAGCGUGGGGAGCAAACGGG